CUGGGAAACUGCCUGAUGGAGGGGGAUAACUACUGGAAACGGUAGCUAAUACCGCAUAACGUCGCAAGACCAAAGAGGGGGACCUUCGGGCCUCUUGCCAUCGGAUGUGCCCAGAUGGGAUUAGCUAGUAGGUGGGGUAACGGCUCACCUAGGCGACGAUCCCUAGCUGGUCUGAGAGGAUGACCAGCCACACUGGAACUGAGACACGGUCCAGACUCCUACGGGAGGCAGCAGUGGGGAAUAUUGCACAAUGGGCGCAAGCCUGAUGCAGCCAUGCCGCGUGUAUGAAGAAGGCCUUCGGGUUGUAAAGUACUUUCAGCGGGGAGGAAGGGAGUAAAGUUAAUACCUUUGCUCAUUGACGUUACCCGCAGAAGAAGCACCGGCUAACUCCGUGCCAGCAGCCGCGGUAAUACGGAGGGUGCAAGCGUUAAUCGGAAUUACUGGGCGUAAAGCGCACGCAGGCGGUUUGUUAAGUCAGAUGUGAAAUCCCCGGGCUCAACCUGGGAACUGCAUCUGAUACUGGCAAGCUUGAGUCUCGUAGAGG
rnacentral:rRNA from 1 species